CUAGGCCUCGACUGACACACACAAGGCACUACUCUCCCAGAGGGGUUCAGCAUGGUGCCCUCAGCCGAUCCUAGAGCCAAAGGGCCCAUGGACGAGCGUUGCUCAAUGUCUGCAGAGUGUUCCAGCAAGGUUCCCAGCUCAGACUCCAGCUUUGGAUAAAGAACACUAUUUCUUUAGUUAUUUAGCAAAAUUAAACUUUGUGUUAUCUGCUGCAAGAGCACCAAGGGGGAGAAAUCAGUUAAUUUUUUUUAAAUUUUGAGAUGGAGUCUUGCUAUGAAGUGAUGUGAUCUCGGCUCACUGCAACUUCUGCCUGCUGGGUUCAAGUGAUUCCCUGCCUUAGCCUCCCGAGUAGCUGGGACUCCAGGUGCCUGCCGCCACACUCAGCUAAUUUUUGUUUUGUUUUGUUUUGUUUUGUAAUUUUAGUAGAGACAUGGUUUCACCAUAUUGGCCAGGCUGGUCUCGAACUCCUGACCUCAGGUGAUCCACCUGCCUCGGCCUCCCAAAGUGCUGGGAUUACAGACGUGAGCCACCGAGCCUGGCCAAAUCAGUUAAUUAUAUUAGUAUUUACGUGGUCUUAAGAUCUUAGCUUAAUGAACCAAAUGUGAUUUGUCAAAAUUGACAACUGGGAAGGAAGGCCAAGAAUCUGAAAGAAAGACCAGAGAUUAUGCACAAACUGGAACAGCAGACAACCUCAAGACAGAGCCAAGGAAGAGGAUCUUCCAAGCACAUUCAGUUUUAUGUUAAGUGGCUUAGUGAUCUC
rnacentral:lncRNA from 1 species